rnacentral:rRNA from 2 species
AUAAUGGGUCAGCGACUUAUAUUCUGUAGCAAGGUUAACCGAAUAGGGGAGCCGAAGGGAAACCGAGUCUUAACUGGGCGUUAAGUUGCAGGGUAUAGACCCGAAACCCGGUGAUCUAGCCAUGGGCAGGUUGAAGGUUGGGUAACACUAACUGGAGGACCGAACCGACUAAUGUUGAAAAAUUAGCGGAUGACUUGUGGCUGGGGGUGAAAGGCCAAUCAAACCGGGAGAUAGCUGGUUCUCCCCGAAAGCUAUUUAGGUAGCGCCUCGUGAAUUCAUCUCCGGGGGUAGAGCACUGUUUCGGCAAGGGGGUCAUCCCGACUUACCAACCCGAUGCAAACUGCGAAUACCGGAGAAUGUUAUCACGGGAGACACACGGCGGGUGCUAACGUCCGUCGUGAAGAGGGAAACAACCCAGACCGCCAGCUAAGGUCCCAAAGUCAUGGUUAAGUGGGAAACGAUGUGGGAAGGCCCAGACAGCCAGGAUGUUGGCUUAGAAGCAGCCAUCAUUUAAAGAAAGCGUAAUAGCUCACUGGUCGAGUCGGCCUGCGCGGAAGAUGUAACGGGGCUAAACCAUGCACCGAAGCUGCGGCAGCGACGCUGAUGCGUUGUUGGGUAGGGGAGCGUUCUGUAAGCCUGCGAAGGUGUGCUGUGAGGCAUGCUGGAGGUAUCAGAAGUGCGAAUGCUGACAUAAGUAACGAUAAAGCGGGUGAAAAGCCCGCUCGCCGGAAGACCAAGGGUUCCUGUCCAACGUUAAUCGGGGCAGGGUGAGUCGACCCCUAAGGCGAGGCCGAAAGGCGUAGUCGAUGGGAAACAGGUUAAUAUUCCUGUACUUGGUGUUACUGCGAAGGGGGGACGGAGAAGGCUAUGUUGGCCGGGCGACGGUUGUCCCGGUUUAAGCGUGUAGGCUGGU